UACCUAGCUUAGAGAGGCUUAGGCCAGAUGAGUUAUUGACCUCUCUAACCCUCAUUCUGUGGGUCUAAGAGGCUGGUACAUGUGAGCUUAAAUUUUAAAAUUCUUAUUUACCAGCCUUAUUUGUCAUCUCUCUUGUAAACAAAGACUUCCUGCAGCUUUUGCCUGUCUGUACUUGCGCCAUCCCUGGAGACAUCCAAGGUCAGGCUGGACAGGGCUCUGAGCAACCUGACCUAGCUGAAGAUGUCCCUGCUCAUUGCAGGGGGGGUGGACUAAAUGACCUUUGAAGGUCCCUUCCAACCUAAACUGUUCUAUGACUCUGUGGGUGGGCAAAAAACUGUCUCUGCAUCUCUGGAGAUGCAAACUCUCUGCUGAGUGACUGUCUCCUCAUAGCUAAGUACCCUGCAAUAGCAGGGGCUUUUCUUUUCUCAGACUUAACCAUUUUCCUUGAAAAGGGGUAGUUCCUCUCUAUGUGUCUCUCUUUUUCUCUCCUUCUCUCUUUCUCCAUCUCAAGCCACAAUUGCCAAGUCUCCUGGAAAAUAUUUUCUAGCUUCUGGAAUGGAUUAUUAUUCCUGCUCGGUGCAGAUCUUCUGUGCUGUAUUUCUCUGGAUGGUUUUCAGAGCCUCUUGGGGCCCACUACUUCCCAUGGUCUGGCAAAAUCCCUGACCACCACUUGGGACCUUGAUUUGUUUAUUUUAGAAUUUAUAGUGAAAAAAAAAAAAAAAAAAGAAACCAAUUGAUGCCAACCAUUGGAACAGAACACAAAUUUAAUAUAGACCAAACACAUUUCUGUGCACUAAAGAAAGAUGUAGAAUAAAGGCUUCACCCAACGUCAAAUUAAAUAAAGGCCAGAGUUAGAAGUUUUGUCUUGCAACACAUUCUACAACUGUCCAAACUGCAUGGCAAGAAGCAAUAAAUACUAGAGCCAAGGGCUUGGGGGUAUGUGUCCUCCUGCCUGAUCCCAGCAGCUAAGGCCCAGAGAUGGACAGCAGGAGCAUUCUGGUUCAUUUCAACUAUUGUGAAAAUUUAACACCCUCAGGGCAGAUACCAGCUCUUGUUGGGGAGUACUGGGCUGACGAGGCACUCAGCUCUAGGAAAGCUAGCGUCUUAAAUAAGCACACGUGGCACAGCCCUCAAAGUAGCACCUGCCUCUCACCUAGGGCCCUACUUUUCUGAUACUCUGGUUUUUUACUUCUCUCCUGCUCCGUGCAGGAGGUGGGCUGUCGGACUGUCUUACUCCGUUGUCUUUAACUUGAUUUUUGCACCUCUCUCCACAGUCUUCCCAAUUUGGGACAUUUCUCUGCUUUGUUAAAAAACAGGAGGCAAAGUAAUUGUGUCACUGAGGCAUCUGGGAAAAGCUAUCCUACAUUCAUGGUGGCGUGCACACCCAGGUUGAAAAUGGCUGUUUUCCUCAACUGCCUUUCCUAAGUCCCUGGUGUUGCUGUUCACCCCAGUAGGGUUCCUGGGUUUCCAGCUCUUAGUUCCAUGGCUCAGACAGUGCCAAAGCCAUUGUUUUUUGUGCUGGAGAUAUGUGGUUUCUGUGCCAGAAUUUUAAGUAAGCCAUGAAAAAAAUAUUAACAUUUUUGUGUAGACUUACGCAACUUUUUCCAUGAAGACCCUAAAAAAUGGCAAAAGUCUUGCCUUCUCAUUAGCCAUAGCAAAGUGUAUGGUAAAUGUGUCUUCUUAAAGGAGCAAAAGUUUGUCCAGAAAGAGCAUAUUUGCAGACCAGAGAUGUUCUGAAGGACAUCACGCAUGCACCUCCCACCCAAAGACCUCUGCAGAGACCUAGCUAAGGAGACGGAUAUGAAAUCUGCUUUCCAGGCAAACUUCGGUCUACAAGCACAGCUUCUACUGCUCUUGAGCAGUCACAAAGCAUGGCUACAAUGUCAAUUAGGUUGGGGGAAAAGUCCUGCAAAAGGACCAAGUGACCCCUGUGUCUCAAUGUGGCACCACUUUUUACCAGUAGUUAUCUCUUCCAUCCUGAGCAAGAACAGUUGUCAUCGCCAGCCGUGCAUGCAAACUCUGCGGCCUGCUGCUCUUCUCCACUGCCUCCCACCAACUGCCCCAGCAAUGCUCCCCAUGCUCUCCUACCAGGAAACACUAUUGUACAUGAGAUCCCAAACACUUUAUGAAGUGCUUUCAGCCUUUGCAUGCGUAUCAGCAUUUUGUAAAACACACAGAGAUGGAAACACAGAUGCCAAAUGCUUCAAGCACUGAGACUGAUUAGUGGUUCAAGGUUUGUCCUGAGGAAAUGCUUGCUUUUAUAAAAUUGUGGGUUGCUCUCACUUGUGUUUGAGCAGUCUUCAUUGCUCAGGAGCUCAGAGGUGUCCUGUGAAAUCUGCAUGGACCACCAUGUGUUUUUGAGGUUGAUGGGUGGACAUACACCCAUUACAGAGACUAGCUGUACAGAUGCUCAACAAUUAAGCCAUUAGUGGACUCCUACACACUUGUAAGGUACACAGGGCUCAUGGAGUGCCUGCCAAGUUCCUCAAGUAGUAACAGUUCAUGACACUCUUGAGAUAUCUGCCAGAUGCCGACACAGUGUUCUGAAGUUCCUAUUUCAGGACAUAAUUUUAAAAAUACUUCUAGCUCGGGAUUUAGAUGCCAAAAAGCAUUUGUGUAUGAAUUGUAAUGCAAACCAUAAACCCAACAGGAAACAUCAGAGACUUCUCCUUUUGCAGAUCCAAUGUGACUAAGGAGUGUUAGGAAAAUGUUCCUUUAUUGGCAAGAAAACAAAUACAUUUUACUGUCCCAUAUGUGCAAAAUGAAACAACUAAUUAACAUAUAUCUGGCAAAGAAAGAGUAUUUUUACCUUCCAGCAUUGCCCACACAUCCCAAAUAAUCUAUUGAUUGCAACAUUUAUGAGUAUUUCACAGGGGGGCAGAUGGUGAAUGCUCUGCUAAGCACCAAGUUUGGCGGACAAGGAGGCACUGCAGUUUUAGUAUAAUAACUGAAUCAGCAAUUCAGCUCAGCCUGAAUUUGCUCAUGUUUCUGGAGAACACAUUGGGAAAGCUCAGUGGCCUAGCAAAAGCUUUAACAUAGCCGCUUUCCUAUCAUCAGCUGGCUGGCAUAAGCGCCCUCAAAGUACUAAUACAAUUCUUACCCUUUCAGUAGAUAUCAAGCAGUAGAAAAGCAAUCCCAAGAAGAGACAUUUGUUUGCUUUGCCUCAUAUAAUAUCUACAUUUAUAGAUUUAAGUUCAAUAAAGAAGGAGUAACUGCAUGUGUAUGUUGUGUGUGUUUUCAGCACAUUGGCCGUUCGAUACUGACUUUUGCUUUGUUUUUCUCAAUUAAGAUUCUGGUGGGUAUGAGGAAGUGUUAAAGCAAACAAGUCAUUAGGCCCAUUUUUCCCAAUAUGUUUUUACAGGGGAAAUGCAAGGACAGCAAUAAGAGCGUGAACAACAGAAUGCAGCUCCCAUCCCUGCAGCAAGCUGUCCUCGGUGCGUGGUUUUAGCUGAGCCACACCAGCCUCUGGGCCAGAAUAAAGCCUUGUUGACCCAGACCUCAACCUGCGGAUUGACAUCCUGGCUAGACCUCAGCACAGCUUUGUUGUUGUGGACCUCCCCAGCCAUCAAUAAACUUGAUCUUAACCCUAACCUACGGAUUGAAUUUCCAGCUUGACCUCAGACCUGUCUCAUGGCCAUGGUAUUGUCUUUUGGUCUGGACUCUUGGCUGGUUCUGACCAUCAUCUCCAGCUUUAAUGCUUAAUACCAUAUAAAUUGCACAUGGCAUGAUGGAAGAACUGGCCCAUAGAAGAGAUUUUGGUGGUUGUCAUAGAAGGACAGAAUAAUGAAAAUCUUCAGAAACAGCUACAGGAGAGAAGGAUGAUGGAGCUGCGCUCUGCUGGUGAUGAACUUGGACUCAUAGUACCAGCUCGGACGUGAAAACAGACCAUUCUCAGCUUCACAUCGUGCAGAUUUAUGUUGCUGCAGCAAAGGAGCUGGAUCCAAGGGACUAUUGAAAAAAAGAAGCCAAGAUCUGACAUAUAACCUGAGAAAAACUUAAUUAAGAUAUUCAGCCUUCAUAUCGCCUGAAGAGGAGCAGUGGAAAUAGAGACUGAACCCAUUCACCUCUCUUCUCACACAAGCUGGGACAGGGCUCACGGCAGGAGAAGCAGUGGGCACACACAGGGGGAAGUGGUCUUUAGCGGCUUUUGCUGCGGGUGCAGAGCACGCUGCAACUCACCCCCUACCACAGGACUUGGACUUGCUAUGAACCUUGUGUACAGAUACAGUGUUGUGAAAUACUGUGGUAAGGGUGCUUCUAUCUCCUUCCUUCUUGCCCCCUUUUUUUUUUUAAGCUGAAGACUGCUGGUGUGGACCUUGGGAGCCCAAAAGUAUGUAAUUUUUAUCCAACAAAAAUGAAUCUUCCAGUUAUAUUGAACCAGUCCACUUACGGUAACUGGCAGGUGGUUUUAAUUCCUUGGAUGUUUUUAUGUGCUUCAGAGAUGGCUAGUUAUGAAAAAGGUAGCUUGAUUUUUGAGACUGAGAGGUGCAGCUUUGUAACAUUUUAAGUGAAGUCUGAAGUACAUUAGCAUUUCCAAAGCAACUCUUUCAUGAGAGCUGUUUGCUUUUUCCACUUUUAAAGACACAAAGCCUGCUUUAGCUAUUUAAGAUGAGGAAAAAAACUUACCUUAUUGCACAAGACUAUUUGCCUCAUCAAAUCGUGUUCACCCCACGAAACUUGCUACAAGUCAGAAAAUUACAAGAACAUGAACUUGGUGUUUCUCAUCAGCAAUCUUCAUGUCUUUCCUUAUGGAGGGGUCCAGAUAAACAGGAGCCUCUCGUGAACAUUAAGGUGAGGUCUAAACAGGUGUUUCAACAGUAGAAAUAAUUUUUGGACAUUUUUGAUCUUCAGUAAUCUCCCACAUAAAACAAGUUGCCAUAUCUCAAUAACAUUUUUUUUCUGAAUCCUUACAAGGUUUGUUUUGGUUUGGUUUGGGUUGUUUCAAGGAAAUUAAAUUAUGCCUGCAAUUUAAACCUGCAGUGUGUGCAUGCAAGGUAGAAGUAGGCUGCUUGGCAGGAAAAAGUUAUACGUUCAGUAACCUUUGUAUAUUUAUUUGUUCAGCAUGCCAGCUCUUGUGCUAUUUGCUGGGAAGGAAUGCCUGCACAAAAAGCUGUGAGGUGUCUCAAAUAAAAAAUCCUAGAAUGUUUUGAAAGCCUCCCCCUUAACUUCUGAUGGAGGGAAUCUGUAGAGGUUUUGGCACAUAAUAAAUCUGUGCUUACUGGGAAAAAACAAAAACAAAAACAAAAACAAACAAACAUAAAAACCCCACCACAACAAAAACAGACAAACAAACAAAACCAGCUCCACUUGGAUUCUGGGUUUAUGUCUAUGAAAGCAAGAAAGUAUAUGCCAGCCGCAGUUUAUAGAAUGUCAAGUGCUAACAAAUCACAAUAGAUCCAAAACAAAAGAAGACUUUAACUACAUUCUGGGUCAAAACAUGUACAGUAUUGAAGUCUAAAAAUACUAUGCAAUUCGAUCUUAAGAGAAUGAGAAGCUCCAAGCUUAUUCCACAUUGUUCCAACUCUUCUCCUAGAAACUUGAACAUAAACUUUGUGUUUAAAUAUAAACUCA